rnacentral:misc_RNA from 3 species
AACGCACAUUGCGCCCGCCAGUAUUCUGGCGGGCAUGCCUGUUCGAGCGUCAUUUCAACCAUCAAGCCCCAGGCUUGUGUUGGGGCCCUGCGGCUGCCGCAGGCCCUGAAAAACAGUGGCGGGCUCGCUGUCACACCGAGCGUAGUAAUACAUCUCGCUUUGGACGUGCAGCGGGUUCUUGCCGUUAAACACCCCCCUUCUCAAGGUUGACCUCGGAUCAGGUAGGAAUACCCGCUGAACUUAA